ACGGGAGGCAGCAGUGGGGAAUAUUGCACAAUGGGGGAAACCCUGAUGCAGCGACGCCGCGUGAGCGAAGAAGUAUUUCGGUAUGUAAAGCUCUAUCAGCAGGGAAGAAAAUGACGGUACCUGACUAAGAAGCUCCGGCUAAAUACGUGCCAGCAGCCGCGGUAAUACGCAUGGAGCAAGCGUUAUCCGGAUUUACUGGGUGUAAAGGGAGCGUAGACGGAACAGCAAGUCUGAUGUGAAAGGCAGGGGCUCAACUCCUGGACUGCAUUGGAAACUGCUGAUCUUGAGUGUCGGAGAGGUAAGCGGAAUUCCUAGUGUAGCGGUGAAAUGCGUAGAUAUUAGGAGGAACACCAGUGGCGAAGGCGGCUUACUGGACGAUAACUGACGUUGAGGCUCGAAAGCGUGGGGAGCAAACAGGAUUAGAUACCCUGGUA
rnacentral:rRNA from 1 species